AAGCGGAAUGGUGAUGUAGUCACCGGCACAAAAGAGGCAGUGUCCGCUCGGCGGGAGAGGAGCGGGAAAUCAACCAGGGAUGACCCGAGUCUUUGCGAGCGAUGACCCGAGUCUUCUCUCACUGAACUACAGGAUGGACGCCGCCGAUUCCGAAUGCUAUGGCCCUUCCGUCAAAGCACUUGGUUCUCUCUUCAAGCUCACCCAAGUCUUCCUAUGGGAUGAUGGCGCGCAGGUUUCAUCAUCAGCCGAACGCCCUAGACCGGCUGAAGCUGAUGACGACAAAGGCUUACACCUUGUUCCUACGACCGAAGAUAUGGAAUUUACGAGGCAGAUGAGUGCAUUGGGGCUUCCUCUUUCCUUUCACACAAAUAAGGAGAGAAGUGGACAACCAAAAGGCAAAAGAAAGGGUAAACGUAGUUAUCAAAAUCCAGUAGAUGAAGCACUUUCCAGAGUGAAUGUAGAGGUUAUAUCUCCUGACAUUUAUUAUGAUAAUGCAAGCAAUUCUUUAUCAUGUAUAUCAAUGCUGGGUGAAAGCAAAUCAUGUCAUUGUGACGGUUCUGUUGGUGUUGAUAACUCUCAAUGCGUCUCUGGCGAAGGUCACAAUGCAGCAAUUUAUACUGGUGUUUUGUCUGCUGUUAUCAGGGAGCAAAUUGAUGAUGACAAAAAAGAGGGUGUAACUGAUGGUGCUCAGGAUGGUGACUUAUUAAUUGGAAAUAUAUUUUUAAGUGAUGAUUUGAAAGCUGCAUCAAGUUCACCUGUUGGAUCUUCUGCUGGAGGUAAAGGCAGUUUGACAGUUGCUGGUGUCAGCUUUGGCGGAAUAGAAGAUGGUGAACGGUUGACUGAUAAUGAAUGUUUUGAAGUUUCAUCAAUUGUUUGCAAAGAUACAGAACAUGAGACCAUUUGCAAUGGUGACGGUGCUACUUUGCAGCCAAUGACUCAUGUAUCAGAUUCAUUUCCUAUGAGUUCAGAAGAGAUUGGAUUUGACCGGAUUGCUGACUCAAGCAACUCAGGUGAGCUUGGACGAUGGAGGGUGUAUUGGGAUGCUUUCUAUGAGAGAAACUACUUUUAUAAUAUCAGAACACAAGUAUCUACGUGGCACCCACCCCCAGGGAUGGAACAUCUAGCAAUUGGGGGUUGUACGGAAAUGGAUAAGGGUGCCACUGUAGCAGCAACAGAGGAGCAUGGUUCUCAGAACAAGACUUACCCCCUUGAGGAAACUUUGAUCAUAGAGAAAUUGGCUAAACAAGAUUUGUGUUCACCUGAGAUUGGAUUUAUUUCUGACAAUAUGAUCUCUGAUAUCAGUGUACAGAGUGAAGGCCAAUCCUUUGAAUUGAUUGAAAGCAGUAGCUGUGACGAUGGAGUUUCAUUUUGCUCAAUGUUAGGUUCCCUGGAUUAUAACAUCAGCUCUCACGAAAGAUGCAUCAAACCGACUUCAGAGGGUAAUGACACAUGCAUGGAUAUCACUGUUCCUGUUAUGAGUGGGUUGCAUGCUAAAUCUGACCCUUCCAUGAAAAUACAGGAAAUGAAAGUGAAAAGAAAACCAAGACGGAGAAGAUUGUACAAUGAAACUAAAGAUCGCCAAUUUCAAGAAUUGCAUGAAGAGUAUUCUGCUGCCAUUGGAAAAUAUUGGCAUCAGAGAUAUAGUUUAUUUUCUAGAUUUGAUCAUGGUAUAAAAAUGGAUGAGGAAGGAUGGUUUUCUGUCACUCCAGAGCCUAUUGCUCAGCAUCAUGCAUUACGUUGUGCUUGUGGUACCAUAAUUGAUUGUUUCACAGGUGUUGGUGGAAAUGCCAUCCAAUUUGCAGUUGCGCAAAGGUGUGGACAGGUGAUAGCAAUUGAUAUUGAUCCGAGGAAGAUUGAUUAUGCAAGGCAUAAUGCUGCCAUCUAUGGGGUGGGUGAUCAAAUUGACUUCAUUAUUGGAGACUUUUUCCUUUUGGCACCCAAGUUAAAGGCUGAUACUGUUUUCUUGUCUCCUCCUUGGGGGGGACCUGAUUAUGCUAAAGUUAUGACUUAUGACAUGAAGACGAUGCUCAAACCACAUGAUGGGUUGAUAUGUUCUCUUCAGAGUUGCAAAGGAAAUUGCAUCUAGAGUUGUCAUGUUCCUGCCAAGAAAUGUUGACUUGAACCAAUUAGCAGAAUUAUCUCUAUCCGCCUGUCCUCCAUGGUCACUAGAAGUGGAGAAAGUCUUUCUGAAUGGUAAACUAAAAGCAGUUACUGCCUACUUCAGUGAUACAACAGUUGGAGGGUGCUGAGUUAUACAACUCCUCUUCUGGUUCUUUUUCAUCGCAUGAGCAAUACUAUGCUCCAUAGUGGGAAAAACAUUUUGAUUAGCCCAGAUUAUUUUGAAGUUGCAGCUGAGGAGUUCAAUACAUGUUUUUUGUCGCUCUUUCUGUAAAUGACGACAAUAGAUGCCCUGAUUUAUCUUGUGUGAGCACACUUAAGGUGUUACAUCGUGCCUAAUUUAGCAAGUAUUUUUCUUCGGUUUA